ensembl:lncRNA
AGUGAGUAAUAAUAUUAGAAUAUGGGUUUUCACCUCAGUAAGGCGGUCUGAAGCUCAUGUGUGCUCUCUGCUGGUGUGUUGCUGGAAAAAAAAUAAGAAAGUGACCAGCUGAAGCUGCUGUGAUGAGAAGUCACAUCCACAUAAGCUGAGGAAAGCUCAUAAAUAAUGGAGACAGGCACGUGCCUGCCCACCCUCUCAAAAGCUCUCAUAUCGGCUGAUGUCUUAAGUUAACCACGGUUCUCCAUGGGUGGAUUGAUGGCUCUGAGGGGCUGGAAGGACCUGGGACUAUCCGUCCUCGGAGCGACGGUUCUCCUUCGGCAACAUCCUUCGGAUGAGAUACUCAAGAAUUCGUCUGCUUAUUGAUUUUGGAAAUAAAGUUUGCUGCUAGAAUGUGACGCACAUAGAAAAACCAAUGCUGUUCCGUGUCAGCGUCUGUAGGUGGUUUUAACGUGGUGACUGGCAUCUAUCAUAAAUAGACACUGACACGCAAAGAGUACAAAGAGUCGAGCUCCACGGAUUUACACGGCGGCAGACAAAUCGGUGUCUAGUUCAGUCCUCAGACUUUUGGAGAGCAGGUGACCCGACGCUUCGUUCUUAUUGGCGGAUGCAAAAUAUGUCCAAGUGCAACGUCCCACAGGCCACAAAGGUGACCUCACAGCUCCAAAGCCUGAGUUCCGAUUAGGACCUUGUGUUGUGUGGAGUUCUCACGCUCUCCCCAUGUUGGUGCAGGUUUCUUUCCUGGGUAAAUUGGUGACAAGGGGCAGGGUGCUUCGGUGCAGCAUGAAGGCUGGUGCUUUGCCUGAAAAUGGUGGGAGGUGUUUCCGAUGAGUUGGAAGCGGAGGCUGCCACCUUCGU